rnacentral:rRNA from 1 species
GCCCCAGACUCCUACGGGAGGCAGCAGUGGGGAAUAUUGGGCAAUGGGCGCAAGCCUGACCCAGCAACGCCGCGUGAAGGAAGAAGGCUUUCGGGUUGUAAACUUCUUUUCUCAGGGACGAAGAAAGUGACGGUACCUGAGGAAUAAGCCACGGCUAACUACGUGCCAGCAGCCGCGGCAAUACGUAGGUGGCAAGCGUUAUCCGGAUUUACUGGGUGUAAAGGGCGUGUAGGCGGGACUGCAAGUCAGCGGUAAAAUCGCGGGGCUCAACCUCGCUCCGCCGUUGAAACUGGCGUUCUUGAGUGGGCGAGAAGUAUGCGGAAUGCGUGGUGUAGCGGUGAAAUGCAUAGAUAUCACGCAGAACUCCGAUUGCGAAGGCAGCAUACCGGCGCCCAACUGACGCUGAAGCACGAAAGCGUGGGUAUCGAACAGGAUUAGAUACCCGAGUA